GACAGCAGUAGCCACGGUAAUACGUAGGUGGCAAGCGUUGUCCGGAAUUAUUGGGCGUAAAGGGCUCGCAGGCGGUUUCUUAAGUCUGAUGUGAAAGCCCCCGGCUCAACCGGGGAGGGUCAUUGGAAACUGGGAAACUUGAGUGCAGAAGAGGAGAGUGGAAUUCCACGUGUAGCGGUGAAAUGCGUAGAGAUGUGGAGGAACACCAGUGGCGAAGGCGACUCUCUGGUCUGUAACUGACGCUGAGGAGCGAAAGCGUGGGGAGCGAACAGGAUUAGAUACCCCAGUAGUCCCUGUCUCUUAUAA
rnacentral:rRNA from 1 species